ACCCGCCAGCCCCGCGCUCUACCAGGCAGAGCGCGUGUGGCCGCCGAGCACAUGGACCCACUGGUCAAGCGGGCUCGGCAAGGCCAGGAUGAAGAGAAGCUACGAACUUAGCAUUCCCAGAGCCCCCCGAGUGGAUAUCCGCGUGGAAAGGAUGUUGGCAGCCCCGGUGACCUCGGAGUCACGGCUGGAUCCACCCUCUUUAUACCCUUUAAGCGUUCCAGAAGGAUUUUGAGAUCCUUUCCUAAAUCAAAGGUGGAAUAUUUGGGGAUUUGGAAAAUUGAGCAUUUUUUUCCCCACUUGCUUGACUGUAAUGCUAACAUGCUCUCUCUGCUCCAACCUGGAGAAGCCAGUCUCUCAGAAGAACCAGUUGUGUUACUUUGCUGUGAGAUGCCUGCCCUAAGAGAGGAGCAGAAGGUCGGAACGGGUCCUCUAAUGUGAUAAUUAGAUGUGAAGCGUUGACUUAAGAGAUGCCAAGUAACUCAGCAGAUGUCACACAGACGAUAAAUAGCAAAGAUGGAAGUCUUCAUGCCGGAGGCAAUCCUAUAAGACAGCUGAGUUCUGCAGAGCUGGUAGGAGACAGACUUGCUCAGGUGAUAGAUCCAGCCAUGAUACUGACCCUAAGAGAAUGAGACGCUCUGCAGAAGACAGAAGAUUCCUGAAACUGGGAAAGGUGCCUAGAAAUCCUGAUAAGAGUGAAGAAGGAGCUGGCAGAGCAGCCUUCCUCCGCACUAUGAAAGACAUCCAACAGAGAGCAAGUUCCCACCUCACUUCCAGCUUGACUCCUUUUUAUCUCCUAACUGUGGUCUGUGAUGUCUUCAGCAAUGGUAUUAACUAGUUCUGGGUACCUGGAGGCACAGCAGCCAUGUUGAACCUAUGAGGUGAUGAAAAACCAUGCAACUAGAAACCAGAAUGGAAGAAAAGAAGAAGCUGGAUCCUUGACUGAAUUGUCGAUGGGGGAUAGUCCAUCAUCCCAGGGCUAAGACCACCUCCAGAUUUCUUGUUUGGUGAAACAAGUCCUGAUUGUUUACAUUCCCUCGUGUUGAGCUGUCUCUUGCUUGUAGCUGAAAGCAUUUCUAAUAGAUAUUCAGAUUAUCAGCCUUAGCUCCAAGCUAGAAUACUCUAUGGGACCUUAGCUUCUCCAUGAAUUCCUUUGCUCAUCUGUGUAAUGCUCAAUAAAUGUAAAUUGAACCCUGAAUGAGGGACAAUGACA
rnacentral:lncRNA from 1 species